rnacentral:rRNA from 1 species
GGUGAGGUAACGGCUCACCAAGGCUUCGACGGUAAGCCGGCCUGAGAGGGCGACCGGCCACAUUGGGACUGAGAUACUGCCCAGACUCCUACGGGAGGCAGCAGUGGGGAAUAUUGCACAAUGGGCGCAAGCCUGAUGCAGCGACGCCGCGUGAGGGAUGGAGGCCUUCGGGUUGUAAACCUCUUUUGUUUGGGAGCAAGCCUUCGGGUGAGUGUACCUUUCGAAUAAGCGCCGGCUAACUACGUGCCAGCAGCCGCGGUAAUACGUAGGGCGCAAGCGUUAUCCGGAUUUAUUGGGCGUAAAGGGCUCGUAGGCGGCUCGUCGCGUCCGGUGUGAAAGUCCAUCGCUUAACGGUGGAUCUGCGCCGGGUACGGGCGGGCUGGAGUGCGGUAGGGGAGACUGGAAUUCCCGGUGUAACGGUGGA